rnacentral:rRNA from 1 species
UGGAGGCAGCAGUGGGGAAUUUUCCACAAUGGGCGAAAGCCUGAUGGAGCAAUACCGCGUGAAGGAUGACGGCCCUCGGGUUGUAAACUUCUUUUAUAUGUGAAGAUUAUGACGGUAACAUAUGAAUAAGCAUCGGCUAACUACGUGCCAGCAGCCGCGGUAUACGUAGGAUGCAAGCGUUAUCCGGAAUUAUUGGGCGUAAAGAGUGUGUAGGUGGCGUGUUAAGUCAAAUGUUAAAUCUCGGGGCUCAACUCAGAGGCUGCAUUUGAUACUGGCAUGCUUGAGGUAUGGAGAGGUAAGCGGAAUUAGUAGUGUAGCAGUGAAAUGCGUAGAUAUUACUAGGAACACCAAUGGCGAAGGCAGCUUACUGGCCAUAUUCUGACGCUGAGACACGAAAGCGUGGGGAGCGAACGGGAUUAGAUACCCCGGUAGA